rnacentral:rRNA from 1 species
GAUGAACGCUGGCGGCGUGCCUAAUACAUGCAAGUCGAGCGAACGGACGAGAAGCUUGCUUCUCUGAUGUUAGCGGCGGACGGGUGAGUAACACGUGGAUAACCUACCUAUAAGACUGGGAUAACUUCGGGAAACCGGAGCUAAUACCGGAUAAUAUUUUGAACCGCAUGGUUCAAAAGUGAAAGACGGUCUUGCUGUCACUUAUAGAUGGAUCCGCGCUGCAUUAGCUAGUUGGUAAGGUAACGGCUUACCAAGGCAACGAUGCAUAGCCGACCUGAGAGGGUGAUCGGCCACACUGGAACUGAGACACGGUCCAGACUCCUACGGGAGGCAGCAGUAGGGAAUCUUCCGCAAUGGGCGAAAGCCUGACGGAGCAACGCCGCGUGAGUGAUGAAGGCCUUCGGAUCGUAAAACUCUGUUAUAGGGAAGAACAUAUGUGUAAGUAACUGUGCACAUCUUGACGGUACCUAAUCAGAAAGCCACGGCUAACUACGUG